rnacentral:rRNA from 1 species
UACGUAGGGUGCAAGCGUUGUCCGGAAUUAUUGGGCGUAAAGAGCUCGUAGGCGGUUUGUCGCGUCUGCUGUGAAAACCCGAGGCUCAACCUCGGGCCUGCAGUGGGUACGGGCAGACUAAAGUGCGGUAGGGGAGACUGGAAUUCCUGGUGUAGCGGUGAAAUGCGCAGAUAUCAGGAGGAACACCGGUGGCGAAGGCGGGUCUCUGGGCCGUAACUGACGCUGAGGAGCGAAAGCAUGGGGAGCGAACAGG